UUACACAUUUGGCUGUCAUUUAAAUCUAUUCUGCAAGUUUCCCUUCAAAAUCAUAUGAAAAAUGUGAAGAAAGUGCAGUGAUGUGUCUGAGUUCUUUAUUUGUGAAUGUGAGAUUGACACACAGGCACUAAUGAGUAUUCGGCUUCACUGGCUGUAAAAUCUUCCUUAUGUCCCACUGAGCUGUUAAGGAAACAUGAAUCUCCUCUAACAGCAGGAGCCAGACUGCUCAAGCAAGACCAUCUCACACUGUUGCCAUAACACGGAUGUGGAAGAGUGAUGAAAUCACUUUUGGAGAUUUAGACUGAACAAACCACUUCAAGACAAACUUGUGUGCGUUGGUCCUCCAGGGUCAAUCAUGGAAUUCUUGGACUAUGUUCUUCUGCUUGUUGGUUCCCCUUUCAAGCUUCCAAGGAGCUUUACCUUCUAUAGAUUCCAGCAUGCCCUCCACUGAGGGUCGUGAGCAACAUCUCAGCCAUCAUGGGUGCCGCGUCACAGUUUCCAGCUGUCAUAGACGCUCCACCAGAGUCUUCAGCCAUCAUGAUCUGCCCUGGUAGUCUGGAGCUCAGCCUGUGCCACCGUCAUGGUCUCCUGCUCAACCCACACUGCCGUUGUGUUCUCCAGCUCAGCUGUGGUGGUCUUCUGCUGCCAGCUCCUCCCUGGUUUCCUGCUCCUUUGGCUCUGCCCUGGAUUUUUGGUCAACUUAGCGUUCAGAUACUUUUCCACCACACGGGCCUGGCCUUCCUUCACUCCCCCUAAAAGCUUCUGCUAAAUGCAUAAAUUGAAUUUAUAUUAUAUAUAUAUAUAUAUAUUGUCACGGGAGGAGCACAAGACAGACACA